ACCACAUAAUGAAAUACAGAAUAUUAUUGGCCUUAAAUAUUAAAAUAGUAUUAAUACAUUGACAUUUUUAUAGUUAAAAAUACUGCAAACUUCUAACACAAACAAUAUGUAUGUACAUUGUAUUAUUCAAUGAUCUAUAGCCUAAAUAACUUAUCGGUACAAAAAGUAAAAAAACAGAUAUCCUUGGGUUUUGAUUAUCACUUAUACGUAUAGUUUUCUCGUACGUAUCAUUUAUCACAUCGCAUAACGUUUUAAAUUAACGUCAUUUAUCCUUAUUAUUUCAACAUUUCCCGUUAUUUAAUCAUUUCACCAUAAAGGUAUAUAUUCAGGUACCCAAGUGUCUCCAAGUAGAGAAGAAACCUUGGCUGUUACAUCCAAGACAUCCAAUUCUGAAUUCUCUAUUAAAGAUGUCUCCCGGAUAUAAAGUAUUUUUAAGCGUUCAGCGCAUAAGGUAACAAAUUCUAGAAGACCCGUACAACUAAAAGAUAAAUAAUUAUUAUAACAAAAUUAUGCUCGAUCUAUUUCCAUGGAGAACAUCCAAAUAUUGACGUUAACGAUUUUAAUUAUUAUUAUAAUACCUAAUUUCACAAUCACCCAAACCAAUGGCAUUAAGAUGAGGACAUCCUCUAGCAACGUUAAUUAAAACAUCAUCAAUAAGGCCAGGUCCGUAAGCAGCUAUAACCAAUUCCAUUAAUCGCGGACAAUAACUGUGAAUUCGCAAUGCUAUUGACUCCGAUGGCGCUUCUCCAAAAUAUAAGUGCGUCACUGGAAUAUGUGACGUGAAAAGGGAUUUGUGUUCUUCUUCAUCAGUUAUGUCAUCAACGAAACUAGAGAAGAAAAUGACAUAAAUAUACAUUGGCCACUCACAAAACGAGAUUGAUGUUUGGAAACCGAUCGACGAAUGUUGUCCACACUUUUUCAUCGAUAACAGGAAGUGGUCUUAUUUCAGAAUGUACUUCUAUUUUUAAUGUCUCCAAAUUGAUUUCUUUUUCGGUGCACAAAGCCAUCAGUAAAUCGUCGCUUAAUAAAGUAUAAGACAUGGAUAAUUCGCGAAGACAUCGACAGUGAUUCACCAACAAAAAUAAAAUGAACUUACCUUCCGGCAACAAAUGGGGUGAACCUCUGAUCCUCAGAAGUUGAAGACUCUUCGUCCACGCGUUGUCCUCGACUUCCCGACGUUCCUUCCUCUGCUCUAUCGUUGUCUUCUCGUUUGACAAUGUCAACGCGGUAUUGAAGCCUUCACUGUCAAUAUCGAGGUACGUCGAUUUCGACGUAUUUAUAAGUGCCAACAUCUAUCAAAUCAAUGCACAAAAUGGAUCAAACAAAACACGAAAGAAAUAAAAAUGAAAAAGAAAAAGAAAUGUAGAAAUAAUAAAAAGAAUAAAAUUAGAAUCACUAGAUUCUAUACCUUUAAAAUAUAUUUAA